rnacentral:rRNA from 1 species
GCAUAUUAAUAAGCGGAGGAAAAGAAAACAACUGUGAUUCCCCUAGUAAUGGCGAAUGAAACGGGAAGAGCCCAUCGUCGAAUCGCAAGUCAUCUCGGCUUUGUGAAAUGUGACGUUUGGGAGGGUCGCCCACGGUUCAGACGAUCAGUCCAAGUCCAACUUGACAGUGGCCACAGCCCAUAGAGGGUGAUAGGCCCGUAAGGCGGUUGUCUGGCUGUGCUGACCUCUCUCUAGAGUCGGAUUGCUUGGGAGUGCAGUCCAAAGUGCGAGGUAAACUCCUCGUAAGGCUAAAUAUAACCCCGAGACCGAUAGCAAACAAGUACAGUGAUGGAAAAUUGAAAAGAACUUUGAAGAGAGAGUUAAGAGUACGUGAAACUGUGUGGUGGUAAACGGAGGCGUUCUCGAAGUGUCCGUGGGGGACUCAAGCUUGGUGGCGGGCAGCCGGCGCUCCUUGAUCAGCAAUGACUGGGUGUGUCGUGCAGGCUUGCCUCCCGGCCGCACUUUCCCCGCGGUUGACGGCAGGAACUGUUGGGACCGGACCAAAGGCCUGGGAUGAAGUUGCUUGCCCUCACGGGCUUGUAGCUCCCGGUGUCCUGGCUUCGGGCCCGACGGGGUAUGAGUGGACUUGUAUAGCAAGCGACAGCCUGUUGCGGUUCACAUCUCUCUGCCGAGUAGGUCGGCGGCG